rnacentral:tRNA from 1 species
UGGAUCACCUCCUAACAGGGAGACAACAAAAUGUUUAAUAUUAUUAUUUUGUCACCUUAGGUCGAUCGGUAUCUCACGUUCUUAAUUUAUUAAGAAUUUUAUUUCCUAAGUUUUUCUAGGUCACACCCAUUAUUUUUCCUGGGCCAUUAGCUCAGGUGGUUAGAGCGCACCCCUGAUAAGGGUGAGGUCCCUGGUUCAAGUCCAGGAUGGCCCAUAUCUCUAUGUUGGGGGUAUAGCUCAGUUGGUAGAGCGCCUGCUUUGCAAGCAGGAUGUCAGCGGUUCGAGUCCGCUUACCUCCACUGAUUACCACCUCUUCCAUAACCGGUAGAAAGGAAAUGUUUUGAGUUGUGAUCAAAUUCUGAAAGAAUCUAGCUUCCUAAUGAAAUCAUUAAGAUGCUGGACUCAUUGAAUUAACUUCAUUGUUUUCAGAGAACCUUGACAACUGCAUAGAUUAUUUUUAAAGACAAUAAGCAUCUUUAAUGAUGCAGAUUUAUUAUUUGUGCGAAUGCAUUAAUAACAAUUCUAUUAAGCUGAUGCUUCAAUUUUUGAAGUUAUUGGUCAAGCUACAAAGGGCUCACGGAGGAUACCUAGGCACACAGAGGCGAUGAAGG